AGAACGAACGCUGGCGGCAUGCCUAAUACAUGCAAGUCGAACGAACUCUUCGGAGUUAGUGGCGCACGGGUGCGUAACGCGUGGGAAUCUGCCCCUUGGUUCGGAAUAACAGUUGGAAACGACUGCUAAUACCGGAUGAUGACGAAAGUCCAAAGAUUUAUCGCCAAGGGAUGAGCCCGCGUAGGAUUAGCUAGUGGUGAGGUAAAGGCUCACCAAGGCAACGAUCCUUAGCUGGUCUGAGAGGAUGAUCAGUCCGACACUGGGACUGACGACACGGCCCAGGACUCCUACGGGAGGCAGGCAGUAGGGAAUAUUGGAACAAGUGGGACGAAAGGCCUGAUCCAGGCAAUGCCG
rnacentral:rRNA from 1 species